rnacentral:rRNA from 1 species
GACGAACGCUGGCGGCGUGCUUAACACAUGCAAGUCGAACGAAGUGGCGAACGGGUGAGUAACGCGUAAUCAACCUGCCCUUCAGCGGGGGACAACAGUUGGAAACGACUGCUAAUACGCCAUACUGAGGGAGGGGCUUGCGUCUGAUUAGCUAGUUGGAGGGGUAACGGCCCACCAAGGCGAUGAUCAGUAGCCGGGCGGAGAGGGUGGACGGCGACAUUGGGACUGGGACACGUGCCAGACUCCUACGGGAGGGAGCAGUGGGGAAUCUUCCGCAAUGGACGAAAGGCUGACGGGGCAACGCCGCGUGAGUGAUGACGGCCUUCGGGUUGUAAAGCUCUGUUAAUCGGGACGCGGUACCGGAAUAGAAAGCCACGGCUAACUACGUGCCAGCAGCCGCGGUAAUAC